GACGAACGCUGGCGGCGUGCCUAACACAUGCAAGUCGAGCGGAGGUACUUGAGGAGUAAUCUGAGGGUACUUUAGCGGCGGACGGGUGAGUAACGCGUGAGCAACCUGCCUUUCACAGGGGGAUAAGGCGGCGAAAGCCGCUCUAAUACCGCAUGAGACCACGGUAUGAUGUACCAGGGGUCAAAGGAGCAAUCCGGUGAAAGAUGGGCUCGCGUCCGAUUAGGUAGUUGGUGGGGUAAAGGCUCACCAAGCCAAUGAUCGGUAGCCGGCCUGAGAGGGUGAACGGCCACAUUGGAACUGAGAGACGGUCCAAACUCCUACGGGAGGCAGCAGUGGGGAAUAUGGGGCAAUGGGGGAAACCCUGACCCAGCAACGCCGCGUGAGGGAAGAAGGUUUUCGGAUUGUAAACCUCUGUUCUUGGGGAAGAGAAGAAGACGGUACCCAAGGAGGAAGCCCCGGCUAACUACGUGCCAGCCGCCGCAGUAACAC
rnacentral:rRNA from 1 species